rfam:Octopus bimaculoides Scaffold41766_contig_15, whole genome shotgun sequence.
GUACUAGCUUCGUCAGUGCAUAUUCUAAAACUGGAACGAUAUAGAGAAGAUUAGAAUGAGGCCGUGCAAGGAUUACUUGCAAAUUCGUGAAGCGUUCCUGUUCUCU